rfam:Schistosoma rodhaini strain Burundi genome assembly, scaffold: SROB_scaffold0000768
ACACUGCUGAGGAGUCCCAUAACAGGACGAAACGGCCGUCCAGUGC